rnacentral:rRNA from 1 species
GACGAACGCUGGCGGCGUGCUUAACACAUGCAAGUCGAACGGAAAGGCCCUGCUUUUGUGGGGUGCUCGAGUGGCGAACGGGUGAGUAACACGUGAGAAACCUGCCCUUGACUUUGGGAUAACUUCAGGAAACUGGGGCUAAUACCGGAUAGGAGCUCCUGCUGCAUGGUGGGUGUUGGAAAGUUUCGGCGGUUGGGGAUGGACUCGCGGCUUAUCAGCUUGUUGGUGGGGUAGUGGCUUACCAAGGCUUUGACGGGUAGCCGGCCUGAGAGGGUGACCGGCCACAUUGGGACUGAGAUACGGCCCAGACUCCUACGGGAGGCAGCAGUGGGGAAUAUUGCACAAUGGGCGGAAGCCUGAUGCAGCAACGCCGCGUGCGGGAUGACGGCCUUCGGGUUGUAAACCGCUUUCGCCUGUGACGAAGCGUGAGUGACGGUAAUGGGUAAAGAAGCACCGGCUAACUACGUG